GUAAUGCGAAUUGCAGAAUUCCAGUGAGUCAUCGAAUCUUUGAACGCACAUUGCGCCCUUUGGUAUUCCGAAGGGCAUGCCUGUUCGAGCGUCAUUAUCACCCCUCAAGCCCCGUGCUUGGUGUUGGACGGCUUGGUCGCGUCACCGCGACUCCUCCUAAAGACAAUGACGGCGGCCUGUGGUUCCCCCGGUACACUGAGCUUUUAAUUGAGCACGUAUUGGAUAAGGGCACCCGGGACCCGGUCUUCUCCCUUUACCGGGAAAUUUUCAAUGGUUGACCUCGGAUCAGGUAGGAAUACGCGCUGAACUUAAGCAUAUCAAUAAGCGCAGGAAAAGAAACCAACAGGGAUUACCUCAGUAACGGCGAGUGAAGCGGUAAUAGCUCAAAUUUGAAAUCUGGCCUCUUGGGGUCCGAGUUGUAAUUUGUAGAGGAUGUUUUGGGUACCGCCCCGGUUUAAAUUUCUUGGAACAGAAUGUCAAAGAGGGUGAGAAUCCCGUCUUGGACCGGUGGUAGGGCCUGUGUAAAACUCCUUCGACGAGUCGAGUUGUUUGGGAAUGCAGCUCAAAAUGGGUGGUAAAUUUCAUCUAAAGCUAAAUAUUGGCCAGAGACCGAUAGCGCACAAGUAGAGUGAUCGAAAGAUGAAAAGCACUUUGAAAAGAGAGUUAAACAGUAUGUGAAAUUGUUGAAAGGGAAGCGCUUGCAAUCAGACUUGAGCGCGGCGGUUCCCCUGACCUUUUGGUUAGGCUAUUCCGUCGUGUCCAGGCCAACAUCGGUUCUGAGGGUCGGUCAAAGGCCUUGGGAAUGUAUCUACCCACGGGUAGACUUAUAGACCAGGGUGUCAUGCGGCCUCUCGGGACCGAGGAACGCGCUUCGGCUCGGAUGUUGGCGUAAUGAUGUC
rnacentral:rRNA from 1 species